rnacentral:rRNA from 1 species
UGUAAGCGUAUACCAAAGUUGUUGCAGUUAAAACGCUCGUAGUCGGAAUUUGGCAGUUCCGGAAGUGUGCACGUCGUGUGCGCACUUUGCGGGGACUGCUUUUGUGGUCUUGCGUAGGAUGAGGCACUUUCAUUAGUGAACGUCCUCACGCAACCACUCUUUACUGUGGGAAAAUCAGAGUGCUCAAAGCAGGCAUUUGCCGUGAAUGUAUUAGCAUGGAAUAAUAGAAUAGGACUCGGUUCUAUUUUGUUGGUUUGUUGGGACUGAGUAAUGAUUAAGAGGGACAGUUGGGGGCAUUUGUAUUCCGGCGCUAGAGGUGAAAUUCUUAGAUUGCCGGAAGACAAACUGCUGCGAAAGCGUCUGCCAAGGAUGUUUUCAUUGA